CUGCGGCUGCCACGGGGCUGCUUGCAGUCCAUGAAAGGCUAAGCGGCCUGGAAGGUCUCCAACCAUGUCUCCUUCAUGGUCCCUGAGCCUCGUGUUUCUUCUGGGGAUGGCGCUGCAGGGGAUCAGCUGCCCGAGCAGGUGUAGCUGUCAGUACCUGGAGGUGAACUGCACUGGGCAGCGGUUGCAGGGGUUUCCUGUGGACAUCCCUCUGGACACCAGGCAGCUGAUUUUGGCAGCAAACAACAUCUCGUACCUGCCGGCUGUGGAAUUGAGCUUCCUGGCUGAUUUGGUCUAUCUGGACUGCAGAAAGAACCUCUUGGGGGAUGACCUGGAUUUCACUUUCAUUGGCGUGGCCAGGCUCGUCUACCUGGACCUCAGCUUCAACAACCUCACACAGGUCACCUUCAGCACCUUCUCCCACCUCCUCAGCCUGGUGGUACUGAAGAUCUCAGACAAUCCCAACCUUGUGGCCAUCGAGAAGGGUGCUUUUGCCAACAACUCCUGGCUGAGGCACCUGGAUGUGAGCCGGACUGGCUUAACCUUCCUGGACACCAGCACUGUCCGGGACUUGCCCAACCUGAGGCUGCUGGGGCUCAGUGACAACCUGUGGCACUGCAACUGCUCCUUUUUGGACUUCAUCACCUGGAUGGUGGAGAGUGAUGUGCAUUUUCCAGGUGAGGGCUGUGUGAGCACAGAUCUGUGUGGAACAGAGAGAGCCCUCUGUUCUCCUUCCCCAAAGUUCCGUUCACGGGGCUGUGCCACUGCAUGCCAUUUUCUGCUGUCACACAAACCAGGGAUGGGAGCAGCUGGGUUACACACAUGAGGGAUCCCUCUUGUUCACAUCCUCCUCAGCCAGGGAGGUGUAAUGUGCAGCUGGGACACUGCUGCUUCCCUAAAACACCUGGAUCCAGCCUCAGGUGUCCCUGUGCCUGCACAGCACCCCAUGGCUGCAGCGCCAAGAACGAGGAGCCCCACAGAGCUCCAGGGAGAUGUGCACUGGGAAAAUCAUUGCUCUGAAUUUCCUGCCCUGUCUCCACCCCAAAGUCAGCUGUUGCCCUUCAUAUUGAGAGAUUCUAUAGCUGGGCCUUGGAGAGGCCAGUUCCCUUUCCCAUAAAAACACUGGUCCCAAGGGUGAUGUUUUGCUUUGCAGCUGCAGCACAUGGAUUUAGCUUUUCCAGACUGGAAAGAGCCACAACACAGCACACAUGAACAAGAAAAUCUUUGGUUUCAGUAGUGCAGGGCACAAUGGUGAGAGAGAAAUUGGUCAAGAAAGUCUGUCCACUGAAUAACAAAGGGCCACAAAAGAGCCCAAGGGGAAAAAAGGAAAGGGCAGCUGGAAGCUGGUGUUAGGACAGAACUGAAUUAAAGACAUCACAGUGCCUUUAUUAGAUGUAGUAAGCUCCUUAUAGACAAUAAAGGGUUUCUUUUUCCACAUACAGGCAAUUAUGGAAGAGUGGAAUAAAGUACAGCUCUCAGCAGUGAGACUGGAGAUAACCCUCUGAACCCUGCAACAGGAGAAUAAAGCUCAUUGCAGGCUGUUGGGGAGGGGAGGAGGAGGAAAGGCAGCCUUAAACUGAGGGUUGUUCCAGGCCACAGGGAUACUGGGGCAGAGCCCUGGAACCUGCUGCAAGCAGACCCCAGCCUGGCCUUUAGCAAGGCUCCUGGCCUUCAGAAAUAUCUGUGCAUCAGAGUUGGAGCUCAGCCUGGGGGCUGACACAAAGCUGCCCAAGUUUGGAUGGGUUUGGGUAACAGAGAGAUAAAAGCUCUUCAGUUUUCAUCAGGACCAGUAGCAAGAUCAGCAUGAACAACAUCACUCAGCCAUAUACACUACAGUAAUGCAAUAAAAAUCCUCCAUGCCUCAUUCCCCUCCACCACUCCCAUCCCACCCCAUGCGUGGAGCAGUGCUCCCUUUCCCUCAGGCUCUUCCAUCCUGUCCAUCAAGCAGUGUCCCCACCACAGUGACCAUGUCUGUGGGGUUCAAAACCUGCAGAGGAUGGCUGGGGACACACCCUGCACCCCACUGGUCCUUCAAUAACUUGAAGGGGAGCAGGCAGCAUCUGUUUUAUCACUGCAGAUAUUGCAAUAUGACAGGGUAUGGUUGUUAUUUCAGUGGAACUGAAUCAUUGAUGAGUUGCCUCUGCUUGCCUCACAGAGCAGGUAAGGCUGUGCAUGACUGCAAACAACCCUCCUUGUCAAACCCACAGCAGACUCAUUAUUCCAGUAUAAUUUAGGCUGUAUCACUGUAGAAGGUGUUUGAGAUUUAAAAAAACAACACAGAUGCUGACAACAUCACCUGCUACAGCCCAGCAGGGCUGCGUGCCCUGAGGAUGCCAGCAGCAGAGGCACAGCUCCACUUCAGCUGCCUGACCCAGCUGCACAAGCAGGAUUAUGU